GGAGGGCGAGCACGGAGGCCGAGGCCGCGGCCCGGGCUCUCCGCGCCGCUGUGGAGGGCGCCCUGGCCCUGGCCGAGCCGCAACAAUAGUGGGAGCGGGUCGUCGGGCACGGUCGGCUGGCGAGGGGAAGCGGGGCCGCCGCUCCGGGGCGCUGCGGCGGGAGAGACUUUGGGAGCCUGGACGUGCAGGAGCACUCAGCGCCUGAGGAAAUUGUCUCAGAAAAAGGCCGGUCGGAGGCUGGGGCUGAGCACGGGGCUGGGCUAGGUGGAGCGACCUGCAGGUCGGAAAGGAAAAGAACGUUUAAGAAUUCCUGCGGUUUUGGCCAAUGCUACCGUUUUGAAGCAAGGGGAGGGUAAAGGGUCAAGAAAGGAGACCAUGUUAACCGGUAGAAGUAGAAUGGCGCUACAGUUACCAGGAUCCUGACAGCUGGAAGAAAAGGAUUCCGUCUUCAACUUGGGAGGCCUUCCUCACACCUUCCUUAAAAAUUGCAAGGGACUCAGGUCUGAUCAAGACACCCAAAGACGGUACAGGAUUCCGGAACUGUGGAGACACUGAGAAACCAUGAGCAUACGACUACCCCAUAGUAUAGACAGCCCUACUGCAGCCUGGUUAAGUAGCCUGUCUUCUCUGGCAGAUAAACCUGAACGCACAUCUCCUUCCCACCACCGCCAGUCCUCUGACACCUCAGAGACAACAGGUCUUGUUCAACGCUGUGUCAUCAUCCAAAAGGACCAGCAUGGCUUUGGCUUCACAGUUAGUGGAGACCGCAUCGUGCUGGUGCAGUCUGUGCGCCCUGGAGGUGCAGCCAUGAAAGCUGGUGUGAAAGAGGGUGACCGGAUCAUCAAAGUGAACGGCACCAUGGUGACCAAUAGCUCACACCUGGAGGUGGUGAAGCUUAUCAAAUCUGGCGCCUAUGUUGCACUUACCCUCCUGGGCUCUUCUCCUUCCUCCAUUGGUGUCUCUGGGCUCCAGCAGAGCCCAUCUCUGGCAGGAGUGCCCAAAGUUAACCCCAUGACUCCUCUACCACCUCCUCCUCCACCCUUGCCACCUCCACAGCACAUUACAGGACCCAAACCUCUGCAGGAUCCUGAAGUCCAAAAGCAUGCCACUCAAAUCCUCAGGAAUAUGCUGAGGCAGGAAGAAAAAGAGUUACAGCGUAUCUAUGAGGUGUAUAGUCGGAACCCCGCCAGCCUGCUAGAAGAGCAAAUCGAAGGUGCCCGGCGGCGAGUCACUCAGUUACAGCUGAAGAUCCAGCAGGAGACUGGUGGCUUAGUGGACGUACUUCCACUCUAUGGUGACAACAGCCAGAGAACAUCUGAAGGCCGCCUCUCUCUGGAUUCCCAGGAGGCAGACAGUGGCUUGGACUCUGGGACAGAACGCUUUCCCUCUAUCAGUGAGUCGUUGAUCAAUCGGAACUCAGUUUUGUCAGAUCCUGGACUAGACAGUCCUCAAACCUCCCCUGUAGUCGUGGCCAGAGUGACCCAGCACCACAGGCGACAGGGCUCAGAUGCACUGGUGCUCCCACACAACGACCAGAGUGUAGAUCAAGGCCCAAAGCCUCUGAUAAUUGGCCCAGAGGAAGAUUAUGACCCGGGUUGUUUCAGCAAUGAGAGUGACAUCAUCUUCCAAGAUCUUGAAAAACUUAAGUCACAUCCAGCUUACCUGGCAGUUUUUCUACGUUACAUAUUCUCUCAGGCAGACCCUGGCCCCCUGCUUUUUUAUUUGUGUUCAGAAGUUUAUCAACAGACAAAUCCCAAAGAUUCCCGGAGUUUGGGGAAAGACAUCUGGAAUAUUUUCUUAGAGAAAAAUGCGCCUCUCAGAGUGAAGAUCCCUGAGGUGUUGCAGGCUGAAAUUGACCUGCGUCUGCGGAACAGUGAGGACCCCCGCAGUAUUCUCUGUGAAGCUCAGGAAGCAGUCAUGCUGGAGAUCCAGGAACAGAUGAAUGACUACAGAUCAAAGCGUACUCUGGGGCUGGGCAGCCUCUAUGGUGAAAAUGACCUGCUAGACCUGGAUGGGGACCCUCUUCGGGAGCGCCAAAUGGCAGAGAAGCAACUAGCUGCCCUUGGAGAUAUCUUGUCCAAGUAUGAGGAAGACCGGAGUGCUCCCAUGGACUUCGCUGUUAAUACCUACAUGAGCCAUGCUGGGAUCCGUCUUCGGGAGGCACGACACUCCAGCACAGCAGAAAAGGCCCAGUCUGCCCCUGACAAGGACAAGUGGCUGCCUUUCUUCCCUAAGACCAAGAAGCAGAGCAGCAAUUCCAAGAAAGAAAAGGAUGCCUUGGAGGACAAGAAGCGAAAUCCCAUCCUCAGAUACAUUGGGAAGCCCAAAAGCUCUUCUCAGAGUGCAUUUCAUAUUCCCUUGUCCCCUGUGGAAGUUAAGCCAGGCAAUGUGAGGAACAUCAUUCAGCACUUUGAGAACAGCCAUCAGUAUGAUGUCCCAGAGCCGGGGACACAGCGACUCUCAACAGGAAGCUUUCCUGAGGAUCUGCUGGAGAGUGACAGUUCACGCUCAGAGAUUCGCCUGGGCCGUUCUGAGAGCCUCAAGGGCCGGGAAGAGAUGAAACGAUCUCGGAAAGCAGAGAAUGUGCCCCGAUCUCGAAGCGAUGUUGACAUGGAUGCAGCUGCUGAGGCCACUCGCCUUCAUCAGUCAGCUUCAUCCUCGGCCUCCAGCCUCUCCACCAGGUCUCUUGAGAACCCAACCCCUCCCUUCACCCCCAAAAUGGGCCGCAGGAGCAUCGAGUCCCCGAAUCUGGGGUUCUGUUCAGAUGUCAUCCUUCCCCACCUCCUGGAGGAUGAUCUUGGCCAGCUGUCUGACUUGGAGCCAGAGCCAGAGGUUCAAAACUGGCAGCAUACAGUAGGCAAGGAUGUGGUAGCAGGGCUGACACAGAGGGAAAUUGAGCGGCAAGAGGUCAUCAAUGAGCUGUUUGUGACAGAGGCAUCCCACCUGCGCACACUCCGGGUCCUGGACCUCGUCUUCUACCAGCGCAUGAAGAAGGAGAACCUAAUGUCUCGGGAAGAGCUGGCAAGGCUCUUCCCCAAUCUGCCCGAACUCAUAGAAAUUCACAAUUCCUGGUGUGAAGCCAUGAAGAAGCUCCGAGAGGAAGGCCCUAUUAUCAGAGAUGUCAGUGACCUCAUGCUGGCUCGGUUUGAUGGUCCUGCCCGAGAGGAACUCCAACAAGUAGCUGCACAAUUCUGUUCCUAUCAGUCAGUAGCCCUAGAACUAAUCAAGACUAAGCAACGCAAGGAGAGUCGGUUCCAGCUCUUCAUGCAGGAGGCUGAGAGCCACCCUCAGUGCCGGCGGCUGCAGCUUCGAGACCUUAUCAUCUCUGAAAUGCAGCGGCUUACCAAGUACCCACUGCUGCUAGAGAGCAUCAUCAAGCACACAGAGGGUGGCACAUCUGAGCAUGAGAAGCUAUGCCGUGCCCGGGACCAGUGCCGAGAGAUUCUCAAGUUUGUGAAUGAAGCAGUGAAGCAAACAGAGAACCGUCACCGACUAGAGGGCUACCAGAAACGCCUGGAUGCCACUGCCCUAGAGCGGGCCAGCAACCCAUUGGCAGCAGAGUUCAAGAGCCUGGAUCUUACAACAAGGAAGAUGAUCCAUGAGGGGCCCCUGACCUGGAGGAUCAGCAAAGAUAAGACCCUGGACCUCCAGGUGCUGUUACUGGAGGACCUGCUGGUGCUGCUGCAGAGACAAGAGGAAAGGCUGCUGCUUAAGUGCCACAGCAAGACAGCUGUGGGCUCCUCAGACAGCAAGCAGACCUUCAGCCCUGUGCUGAAACUCAAUGCUGUGCUUGUCCGCUCCGUGGCCACAGAUAAACGAGCCUUCUUCAUCAUCUGCACCUCUGAGCUGGGCCCUCCCCAGAUCUAUGAGCUGGUUGCAUUGACAUCAUCAGACAAGAAUAUAUGGAUGGAGCUCUUAGAAGAGGCCGUGCGGAAUGCCACCAAGCACCCUGGAGCUUCCCCAACACCUACCCAUCCCUCACCACCAGAAUCCCAGGAGCCAGCCUCUCAGGGCUCCGCCCCCAGCAGGGUAGAAACUAGUGACUCAGAAGUAUACCAUGGUGAACCAGAACCCAAGGAACUACCUGGAGGCCCUGGGCCCCAGCGGAGAGUUCAAGAGAAGCAGCUGGUAGUACAAGAGGAGCAUGAGCGGGAGGAGGAUGUGGAGGAGCGGAGAGCCCUGCCUUCCCCUCCCACCUCCCUGGACGGAGAAAACAGAGGCAUCAGGACAAGGGACCCUGUCCUUCUGGCCCUUGCGGGUCCUCUGCUCAUGGAGGGACUUGCUGAUGCUGCCCUGGAAGAUGUGGAGAGCUUGCGGCACAUGAUCCUGUGGAGCCUGCUGCCCGGUCACACUGUGAAGACUCAGGCUGCUGGCGAGCCCGAGGAUGACCUCACACCUACCCCUUCUGUGGUCAGCAUCACCUCUCACCCCUGGGACCCAGGGUCCCCAGAGCAAGCUCCCACUAUAAGUGACAACACCCAGCUUCUAAGGCCAGAGGGGAGCCAGCCAGACAGGGAGGAUGUCACUUUCUGUUCUCUGGCACACCUGCCCCCAAGGACCAGAAACUCUGGCAUCUGGGACUCUCCUGAGCUGGAUAGGAAUCCAGCUGAAGAGGCUUCAAGCACAGAUCCAACAGGAAGUUACAAAGUUGUAAGAAAAGUCUCUCUACUCCCUGGUGGUGUCGGUGCAGCCAAGGUGGCGGGCAGCAAAAUUACCUCUGAACUACCAGAGAGUGGCCAGUCAGAAUCUGAGCUAUCUGAAGUGGAAGGCGGAGCACAGGCUACGGGGAACUGUUUUUAUGUCAGCAUGCCAGCAGUACCUCUGGACUCCAACACUGAGCCUACUGGGAUACCCCAAAGUCCCUCACAGCCUCAUAGCCCCCCUACAUGGCCAGCAGAGCCUCAGCACCAGAGGGGAGGCAUUGGGAAUCAGACAUGUUCCAGCCUGGUCCUCAGGGAUGUGGGUGUGAUCUUCCAUACAAUCGAGCAGCUCACCGUCAAGCUUCACAGACUCAAGGACCUGGAGCUGGCCCACAGGGAGCUGCUCAAGUCCCUCAGAGAGUCAUCUGGUGGUACCACACCUGUGGACACUUUCCACACAGAGGCAGCCAGAUGGACAGACCAUUCCCUCUCUCCAGCCAAGGAAGCUCUGGCCUCUGACUCCCAAAACAGUCAGGAACGGGGGUCCUGCCCUGAAGAAGGGUCCCUUGGCAGCAUCAGUUCCUGAAUCAUGGUGUAUUUUGGACACUGCGGGUCAAAGCAAUUUUUCUGAAAGAAGAAAAAAAGGAAAAUUAACAGGAAUGAAGUUUGGCUCCAGGAGAUAACUGGACAGAAUGCCAGAGCUGGUGAGCAGGGGAAGGCAGCCACACCCUUGCUAACCACAGAAAACAUGGGAAUCAGGAUGAUGAGACCUUCUGGAAGUGAGCUGCAGACUUACCGCCAGGGACAACCACAGCAGCCCCAUGGGGCCCUUGGAUGAAGUCUUGGACUUGGUGACCUGAACCUGGUAUUGCACAGCAGUGAGGAAGCCUUCCAGCCCCACCUCUGUGAUUUGGUUUCCUGAGAGGGGGCACAGACAGUGGCAUCUGAUAUCACACCUGACUUGCUGGCUGGCUCCCCCUAUGUUCAGAUUCAUUAGGCAGGACUGACUUUAACUAGCCCUCCAGCCAGCAUCCUUUCACAUCACACCUUCACCUCAUUUCCCUUUACCCUGCUGCCUCUUCCCUACCUAGCUACUGCCCUGGAUGCCCCCUCGCUGGCCCAGCACUUCCUCUUCAGAUCUAGCCCCGUGGGUGUGACAAAAUGAUGCUCAGCUCCUGGAGAAUCAAGUACACCCUGUGAAGCUGGUCCCUUAGCAGGAUGGAGCCCAGCCAGUCCCAUGGUAAGGACAGGCAAGGCUAGCAAACGUACGGAGGAGGUUGAGGUGCAAAAGGACCUUGUUCCCAGGCAUGAAAACCUUCCCAUCUCGGUGUUCCACAGGCUCCAGGAGAGGGUUAACCAUCUCUGUAGCUUCAACAAUCAGCUGCUAAAGUAGAAUACUAAUUGCAGCAGAGGAGAGGGGAGCUGGUCAACAGGCCAUUCAUUCAUUCAUUCAACAUACAGGUUUUGAGUGCUGGAUAUAAUUCAGGUUCUGUCCUAGGUGCUGGAGAAACAAAGAUAAAUAAGCCCAUACCCUCAAAAGGUUUCUUGGUGUGGGGGAGCCAGAGGAUUAAACAGGAAUGUAGUGUGGAGGGCCCCCUGAGCAAGUAGGGCUGUGGGAGUGUAGGCUUUAAAGGAGGCGGCCUGGGCAGGGAAGUUAAAGACACACAGACAGACACUGUACAGAGGUUCUGGAGCCAUGAGUCCACACGGGACUAAGCUUUUUUUUUUUUGAACUCUUUCAUCAAGAGAGCAUCUGGAAACAUGUUCCUGGUGAGAAGGAGCAGUCAGCCCAAGACAAGCAAAGACUGGAGCGUGGAAACUAAAGAGCCACCAUCCUUCUGUCUGACUUGCCAGAACUUGUCAGAACUUGUCUUGGGUGCCAGGAAAGACUCCUAAGAAGACAGAACUUUCCCUUCCAGGAGCAUGUGACAGGGUUGUAGACUCCCCUCGUGGAGAGAACAGAGGCUGUGCAGUUAAAGGAUGGAGAACUGGGAACCAGAAAGUAGGUGGCCCAGGAAGCUUCCGAAGGAAUGGAUCUGAAAGGAGAGAUCCAGGAGCAAAAGGGGAUCUGAAGGAGGAGUCCUGUAGGGCAGUGUGGGACUGAAAGUGCCUUAGGGAGCACGUAAGUGGCUAUACAGAUAUCAGGUGUUGGAGGGGCUGAUGGUGACCUGAGGGCCCCAGAGAACAUAACCUAGGCAGCAGGUCUUGAGUGAGGCUUCUAGACAAGGGAGGUAGAGGGGCCUGCCACAUGAGGAGGAAAGUGGGGAGCCCUGGACUCCUGUGUGGGCUGCAGUAGAGGGUUAGGGGUGGCUGCCUAAGCAGUGAGGGCCACUUACCUCCGAUUCCAGGAGGAUGCUGCGCUUCUCUUUGGUACCCGUCCUCGUCCCUUUUCCCCUGCUUAUCUUCUGCUCAGGGAUGGUUACCUCUGGGACCAGAAGAGGAGCCAGAAUGCACAGAGCAGACCCCCUGACACCACCCAGACUCCCCAGAGACCGGGGAUUGCAGCAGGCGCCUCCGCUCCACCACUUCCGUGUGGGUCAGCUCGAAGGGGCGCAGGACCUGAGGCAAGGCCAGCUCCAUUCGUCAGACACCUGCGUCAGCACCCCUGCCCCGCCCAGCCCACAAACCCACCUCAGCCAGCUUCAGCGCGCCCUUGUCUUGAAUACGGUUGUGCGCCAGGGACAGCCAGAGGAGAGAGCGGUUCAGCCUCAGGCCCUGGAGAACACAGCGACCUGUAAGCCAAGGGGCAAGCUGGCAGCCCCCAAGCAGGACCCCACGGCACGCACAUCCGCGAUGUAGCCCGCGCCCGUAUCCCCGAUGUGGUUGAAUCCCAGGUUCAGUGAAACAAGGGCCCGGUUGCUGCUGUGCAGUGUUGACAGUGCCUGGCCCAGGAGCUGCGCCCCGUAGUCAUCGAUGUUGUUGUUCCUCAGAGACAAGUGAGAAAUCCUGGGGCAGGGAGAGGGAGGACACAAGUGCUUCUAUCUCCUCCAUAGAUGGAGGGGCAGGUGCCUGGGAAUGCGGGAAAGCAAGGCUAAUGGUGCUUGGAGUGGGGAACAGGCCAAGAAGGGGGGAGUCAAGUCAAGGAGGCUCACGUGCUGUCCAGCCCCAUGAGCUUGUAAUAGGACUGCUCCGGCAGCGGGUUCCCCUCCAGAGACACCUUCCUGAGAGAGGGGGGGGGGGGGGGUCUGAGGCCACUGAGGAAGGGAAGCAGGAGGGAAACAGUAAAAGCGUGGAUCUUUGGGAAACAGAGCCUUAAGGAUAUCCCCCGAUAGAGGAAAUAUAUCUCUUGACAAUUCCCCAGGCUUAAAUUCGAGAAAUGUGGCCAUGUGAGGGGCCAGUUCCCUGAGCUGACCUAUAGUACAGUGGUCUCUGCAUACUACUUCUGUACCUAGGCCUUGUGCCAUGUAAUCCUGUCCUCUGCUGUGGCUAGAACUAGGACAUUUCUUUGUGUUUUGGUCUGUUUUUCCUGUCAGGGUUUCUCUGUGUAGCUCUAGCUGUCGUAGACCAGGCUCCCCUCGAGCUCAGAGAUCCCACCUGCCUUGUCCUCCCAGUGCUGGAAUUAAAGGUGUGCAUGUGUGCACCUGUUGAACUAGUGACAUUCUUAAUGAAGAGAAUAUGCCAGGAUGUCACUAAUGAGUUUACGUUCGUUACAGGACUGCUUUCUAUCCUGAAUGCUCUCAGACACUCAGCCAGGCAAGGGGAGGCCCACUGUGACUCCGGUAAACCAGCUGAAAAGCAGCUUCCCUUGAGAGGCCCACAGCCCAGGCAGAGAUUUCCUGCAGCCUCAAGCCUGAGUCAGAGCAUCCAAUAAGUCACCACAGGGCCCUCUGCAAGGCAAUGGCUUCUCUCACAGUCCAGUGGACCGAUAGGUAGAAAUUACUCUAUGCAAAUACUUCCCAUGAUAUAUAACUAUUGCUCAGCCUUUUGGGCUGCCUUGUUUCAUAUAAAAGGGGUCAGAGAGGUACUAUUUGUGAAGCAAGAAUUGACUCUAGGGUCCUGUGGGAACCUGAAAGGAGGCAGACAGCUAAGUUGGCAUUUGUACAGCAAACUGGAACUGUAAUUGGCCACCUUUGGGGGGGGAGCAAUUGUUGUUUUGGGGUUUUUUUUUUUUUUUUUGAGAGAGGAUUUCUCUGUGUAGCCUUUGUUGUUCUUAACUCACUUGUAGACCAUACUGUUGCUGAACUCAGAGAUCCACCUGCCUCUACCUCCCUGAGUGCUGGGAUUAAAAGCUUAUACCACCACAGCCCAGCUGUAGUAGGCCACCUUAAACCUGCCUCUGCCUCCUAUCCAUCCCUGUGAUUCCUACAAGGCUAGCUUAACACCACCCCACACACACAGCUUCCCAGGUCUUCCUACGCUCAUGAAGUAGGCAGCACUCCUUUUUGCAGGAGCCAUUCCUCCAAGUUCACAGUCCUACACUGUGGCAAAGCAGUGUCUGUUUCUAGGUGCUGCUCUCCCUACUGGCUGUAUUGGGUCAUGGAGCAGGGGCCAUAAUCUCUAAAGAGGGGUUGGAGCUGAUGGAGAGAAGAGAGGAUGAGCCCUCAAAGGCCUCUAUGGAUGCCAUGUGGACUAAAACAGUGGUUUUCUGAGGGGGGAGCCCCAGCCACCCACAUGGGCUGAGCCCCAUUCCCACUCAGGCGCCAGCUGAGCCCUACAGGUGGGCUAUAGGCAGCUGCUUCCCCUUCACACACCCCAGCCAGGAUGGAUUAGAGACUGGGGCCUGACCACAACUAACCUGAGUGUGGAUGAACAAAGAGGCAAAAGGGUGAUGAAAGUAGCCAGGGUCUUAUCCGUCAGCCCCACCUUCCACAAGCUGGUAUUGGAAACAGAAAGAGCUGGACAGACCACACCCCACAGGAAGCCACACCCCACACUCCCACAGCAGAGCCCACUGCUGCCUCUCCAGCCAGCCAGAGGCUGACCUCCCACAAUGCCGCUCACUUGAUGGCCUGCAGCUGGCUAAGGGGGGGCAGACAUUUGGAGAAGAUACCCAGAAUCCUAUCUUCAAUUUUCCAACCUGAGGAGAGACAGGCCAAAGGCAUCUCAGCCCUGGAGGAGCCAGAUGUGACCUGUUGUGAGCCCAUAGGGGGAGACCAAGCAGGUGGGCUGGGGAGGGGGAGAGGCAGGAAGGGCAGCACUCACCUCGGAUGUAGAUCUCUCUUACGGCCUUGCUGUCAUCCUGCUCCAGCUCCACCUGAAUGGUGGGCCGAAAGAACACGUAUUUGCUCUCCAGGCUGUUCUGGCUACCAGAUGCCGACAGCCUCUGAUCAUCUGGAAGACAGGUGUGAGGGCAUCUGGGGCUGCAGUGCGCCCUGCCCGGUGAGUGGCUUGGAUGGGCUGUGGCUCACCUUGGGGGGCUUUUUCUGAUGUGGAGGUGGAAGAGAGAAAGUUCUGUUGGGGCCGUGGCCGGGUGACAACUUUGGGGAAGUACGUGUAGCCUGACCGUGUGCAGAGCUCAGCGAAGUCUGUCUCCAGGACCCCGGAGCACUGGUACUCUUCUGCAGGGCAGCAACAGAGUGAGCACCGCCCCCUGUGGAACCCCUGUGGAGCACCUGCUGUGCUCACAGCAGCCCCAAGUAGAAGCUGCUUUGCUAAGCUGAAAACACUGGAGGAAAGCAAGAACUCACAGAAAGGAACUUAUCCUACCCAAUGGGCUUGCUGACCUGUUUAACAUAUUUUCAUCUAGUACUUGCUAAUCAGUGUCCCAGCGUUUGUAAAGGUUUUGAAAAUA